UGACCUCAGUCAGGUAGGGAUACCCGCUGAACUUAAGCAUAU
rnacentral:rRNA from 1 species